rnacentral:rRNA from 1 species
ACGUCGUGAGACAGUUCGGUCCCUAUCUGCCGUGGGCGCUGGAGAAUUGAGGGGGGCUGCUCCUAGUACGAGAGGACCGGAGUGGACGCAUCACUGGUGUUCGGGUUGUCAUGCCAAUGGCAUUGCCCGGUAGCUAAAUGCGGAAGAGAUAAGUGCUGAAAGCAUCUAAGCACGAAACUUGCCCCGAGAUGAGUUCUCCCUGAGACUUUAAGUCUCCUGAAGGAACGUUAAAGACGAUGACGUUGAUAGGUCGGGUGUGUAAGCGUAGCGAUACGUUGAGCUAACCGAUACUAAUGAACCGUGAGGCUUAACCUUACAACGCCGAAGGUGUUU